GCCUCGGCGGCGCCGGGAGACGGCGCCCGCGCCAGCUCCGGACCCUCCUCCCGGCGCGGUUUCCGGCAGGUCCGCGCGGCGCUCUCCUCCCGGCGGAGUUCUCGACCCUCCUCGCGGCUCCCUCUGGCCGGCCAGCGGCGCCGUGCCCUCCGCCCUCCGCGCUUCCCCCGCGGCCGUCGGCUUCCCGUGCGCUGUGGGCGCCCUCGGCGGGCCGGAGGCAGGAAGGGCAGAAAGGAUUUCUGCUUUAGCUGAGUGUGUGACCUGGGAGCAUUUAUCCCUGUGCUGAUUUGCAUUCUCCGGUGGUUUGCGUUUGCUGGGGUGAGCACUCAAGGCAGGCUCGCCACGCUUCAAGGGACGCGUUAGGAAGAGUAGACCAAGGGGGCUGAAGAGGGGUCCUGGAUCUUUGCCGAACCGUGCUCGGAUUCUGGCAAGCAUAGGUCCAGAACUUCGGUCGUAGUAUGUACGAAGAAGGAACUUCCUGAUAGGAGUACUUGUUACCUGCUAAAGCCCAAGCUUGUAAUCUCGUGGAGGACACAACUCUCUCUCUGUAGCAGGAUCGUCAAAAGGCUCCACAAAAAAGAGCAGACAAGCCCUGAAGCCCUUCUGAUUCCAGAAAAAAAGAUUCUGGGUUUGGGUUUUUGUUGGGAAGUCGUUAAGGAAAAAAUAAAAUCAUUCUGACACUUGUUAAAAUAGGAAGGAGGACUUUAUUUAGAAAUAUGGAAGUAGGUGUCCAUGCUAUCUCACACGAAGGGAGAGAUGCCUGCUCAACUCUAAAAGCUGGCGAGGGAUAGCCCACAGGCAAAGUGAGGGAGUCAGUGGGCAGAAAUUCGUUUAGAGGAGACAGUAGGGAGAGAGGAAUCUUGCUGCCGGCCGGCCAGCCUGCUCAGGUUUCCACGAUGGGGGCAGGUUCUCUCUAAACCGAGUCUGCAGGAUUCUUGAGGAAGCUGGGCUGCGCAGGCCGAGGAGUGGAGGAGGAUGCGAAGACCGAGGCCUCCCGGAGAAGAGGGCUCAGAGGAGACCGACUAACAUUUGAUCAAGUCAAGAGUUUUUGUCAAACUUCUCUGACUGUCCCUGAGAUCUGAGUAGCUCCUGCGGUAGAGGCGUCUCUCUCCAAGUGUUUGUGGCCAUUCCUGGUUGCUUAUGAAUAAGUAAACAUUUGUGAAUGUUACUUCUCUCUGUCAUGGAGAGGCUAAUGGGGAGCUGUGGUGCUCCCAAUUGGUAAAAUGUACUAUGACAAGCACAUCUUUGAAGUGUAAUUGUGGUGGACGACCCCAGACCAGAGCAAGUUUAACUGAAAGAGAACGUUAUUCAAAUACGGGGAGCGAGGAAGAUGUUAGCGUUUCUUGUUUGCGUUCACGAACAGUUCUUUUUGUGUGUAAAAUUAGCAUUGUCAGAACAGGCGUGACUUCUUGGCUCAAGCUGAUUGACCUUCCCAUCUUAACUUUUCUGAGGAAUGGCGACUUCAAAUGGAAAAGUGAGGAGAGUGUCGAGAAGAAACCAAAGGGUUUUAGACUCUGAGAGUCCUAAUGUUCUGCGGCUGUGAUUAGUUUUUUGGUUUUUUUUUUUUUCUGGGAAGAGGACAAUCACCUGAAUUCUUGACUUUGGACCCACAGCCCUAAGAUCUCAAUUAUUGCCAUGGGACCCACCUUGGUACAAGUCCGUAAUUGCUAACAGGACUUCCUCGCAGGAACAAAGUGCUGGGGAUUCUGGAACCUCAGAAGAUCAAGAUAUGAAUCAACAUUGGAUAUUUCCCGGUAAAGCCUUAAAAUAUUCCUGAGAGAUCUUGAUAAACUGCACCCAGUGUAUCUGAUGUGAGACAUCCAUGAUUGGGGGAAGAGAGAAGAUUGGGGCAGGUAAGAGACUGCAUUCCUGCCUGACUGCUGUCUUCAGGAAAUCCAUUCACAAACCUCUGGGAAUACCAUAUCCAGGAAUCUCUCUAUCAGAUGCACAGGCACCCACAAUGCCCCAAGUGCUAACCCACACCUCUUCCCAUUGUGUGGCCAGCUCCUUGUACUCACUUCCACAUGUGGCAUCACGGGAGAGCUCCCUGUAGGCAGUGAGCAGUCAGAAAACCAGCCACUGUCUGUGAGCAAAGAAACCUCAAGCUCGAGCUGUAGUGCCAUCUUCUGGAAAAUGAAGAGGUUUCUAGUAGUCAGCCUGGUGACUUGUAAGAACCAGAGAAGACCUAAAAUGUUAAGAGUCCUGCCACAAGAGGGAGCAAGAAGAGUUGAGCAGAUGUACCAAUACAAAGAGAUUAAACCCCAGAUAAUAACAACAGCAUACUCCAUCUGAAAGCAACUGGCAGAGAUUUAAGGACGCAUUUGCUACUUUAAUGCAAAAAGAGUAAUGCAGAACUACAAGAAACAUGAAAAAUCAGAGAAACAUAUAAUCACAAAAAGAAAAUAAUAAUUCUCUGGCACAAAAACAGACACAUAGACCAAUGGAAUAGAAUAGAAACCCCAGAA